UCCACCUGCCACCUAAGAAAGCAGAAGAGCCUGCCCCGGGCUGUUUGACUGCUCCUUCUUGUCAUGGUUCUAUAUUAAGAUAUCUGGGAAUGUCUGUGUAUUAUGCCUAUAUGGUCAGCUGAGAGUCCCAAAAGGAGCCACACAGCCCUGGCACCAGAACUGGACCCAGUAUUCCAGCGGUGGCCGCACCAGUGCCAAAUACAGAGCCCCAGCUCUGCCAGUCCCUUUCAACGAUGAUAGCAAGUGAAACAAUCUCCAGCGAAAGGUCAGGCAUGUUAAAGUGAAUGAAAACAGCUGAAACCUGUUUAAAGCAUAACCACAGGCUUCAGCUAUAUUGGGCCUGGGCCAUUGAGACCUAUACAAGGACACUGGGACAAUAAGGAGGAGGUGACACUGAGCCUGGGAGCCUGGGGACAAAGGCCCUGAAGGUGGAAGGCAAGGACCUGGCUGCAGAUGCAUACCUGACCCUGAGCUGGAAGGUGCGUAGUGACUGAGGCAGGGGUUUGUAGGAAGA